rnacentral:rRNA from 1 species
GACGAACGCUGGCGGCGUGCUUAACACAUGCAAGUCGAACGAAGAGCGAUGGAAGCUUGCUUCUAUCAAUCUUAGUGGCGAACGGGUGAGUAACGCGUAAUCAACCUGCCCUUCAGAGGGGGACAACAGUUGGAAACGACUGCUAAUACCGCAUACGAUCUAACCUCGGCAUCGAGGAUAGAUGAAAGGUGGCCUCUACAUGUAAGCUAUCACUGAAGGAGGGGAUUGCGUCUGAUUAGCUAGUUGGAGGGGUAACGGCCCACCAAGGCGAUGAUCAGUAGCCGGUCUGAGAGGAUGAACGGCCACAUUGGGACUGAGACACGGCCCAGACUCCUACGGGAGGCAGCAGUGGGGAAUCUUCCGCAAGGGACGAAAGUCUGACGGAGAAACGCCGCGUGAGUGAUGACGGCCUUCGGGUUGUAAAGCUCUGUUAAUCGGGACGAAAGGCCUUCUUGCGAAUAGUUAGAAGGAUUGACGGUACCGGAAUAGAAAGCCACGGCUAACUACGUG